rnacentral:rRNA from 1 species
UACGUAGGCAGCGAGCGUUGUUCGGAAUUACUGGGCGUAAAGAGUAUGUAGGCGGUGUUCCCAGUCUGUUGUGAAAUCUCCCGGCUUAACUGGGAGGGUGCAGCGGAAACUAGAAUGCUAGAGGGUGGGAGAGGUAAGCGGAAUUCCUGGUGUAGCGGUGAAAUGCGUAGAUAUCAGGAGGAACACCUGUGGUGUAGACAGCUUACUGGACCACUUCUGACGCUGAGACACGAAAGCGUGGGUAGCAAACAGG